rnacentral:lncRNA from 11 species
AGUGGUUUGAGCUUUGCAGUAUGACCCUGGAGACUAGGGUUUGAUUUUCUGCUCAGCCAUGAAAACUUCAGUGCUACAGAAUCCUGGUAUUUGUAGUUUGGCAGAACAUGAUGGCUAAAGUGAUGUCCAAAUACAUUACUUCUACAGUAACUUCUUCAGUCCCAUGCCUAGAGUUGGAAGAGGACACAAGGGCCAUCCAGUCCAACCCCCUGCUGUGCAGGCUCUAAGUUCAUAGCAAUAUGAGGCACACAAGAGUAACCUUGUUCCUUUGGACACAUCUUGCCAAGAAAAAUCCAUGAUAGGUUUGCUGUAGGCUCACUGUAAGUCAGAAGCAGCUUGAAAGUAAACCACCACCACCACCACCAGUUUUGCCUGCAAAAGGACAUCCCCAUUUUUAAAAAAAUAAAUAAUAGAUAAGUAUCUUUGCAUUCUCGCAAUGCAUAAUUUUUCAACAUAUUUUCUUUCAGUUGUGCAACAGUUGAUUUCUACGCUUCUGCUUUUACAGAUUAAAUCCCACUGUUUCUCUUCUAAUUGUGAUCCCC